GCUGGGGAGGGUGAGCGCACGCGGCGCCUUUGCACGCUCCCUUCCGCGUGCGCGAACGCGCGCGCAGGUGACGGCGCAAGCCUGGCUGCGUUUGUGCCGCCGCGCGGCUCGGGCACGGAUGGCCGUGACCCGGAGUGCGUCAGCCCUCCGCGCGCCCCUAAGCUCUCCUCUCUCUUUCCUUGCUGCCACAGGGCACGUCCGGCAGCGAUGGCCCCCACGGCCCCCCGGGCGAAAGGGGCCUGCCAGGACCGCAGGGACCCAACGGCUUCCCGGGACCCAAAGGACCUCCUGGUCCCCCUGGCAAGGACGGGCUCCCCGGGCACCCCGGGCAGCGAGGAGAAGUCGGUUUCCAAGGCAAGACUGGUCCCCCGGGUCCRCCGGGGGUGGUGGGACCUCAGGGAUCUGCUGGAGAGUCUGGCCCCAUGGGGGAGAGAGGCCACCCGGGCCCCCCCGGCCCCCCGGGAGAACAAGGGCUGCCAGGACCGUCUGGCAAAGAGGGCACCAAGGUGAGAAGGUGGGCGGGCGACGGCAGGGCAGCGGAGGAUGCUGGGGUGACGAGGCGGCACAGUGUCGCCACCCCAAGGAGUGA
rnacentral:lncRNA from 1 species